AUGAAAUCAUUUCCUGUCCGCCUACCAGGCAGAUGAGCGGCGUGAAAAACUUCCAACACAGCUUCCACCAAACGCAGGGAACAGAAGAAUUGGGAUGCGCGGCCAUCACACCGACAGGAAGUGAAAAUAUGGAGCCAGCUAUAAUCUCCCUAGAAAUUCUUUUGCCAUCUCUGUUCAAUGCAGAACACAAACAGGCCGCCGAGCGCCAACCAGGACCCACCACUGUGAACGACG